AAACAGCCCAGACCACCAGCUAAGGUCCCAAAAUAUAUGUUAAGUGGAAAAGGAUGUGGCGUUGCCCAGACAACUAGGAUGUUGGCUUAGAAGCAGCCAUCAUUUAAAGAGUGCGUAAUAGCUCACUAGUCGAGUGACACUGCGCCGAAAAUGUACCGGGGCUAAACAUAUUACCGAAGCUGUGGAUUGUCCUUUGGACAAUGGUAGGAGAGCGUUCUAAGGGCGUUGAAGCAUGAUCGCAAGGACAUGUGGAGCGCUUAGAAGUGAGAAUGCCGGUGUGAGUAGCGAAAGACGGGUGAGAAUCCCGUCCACCGAUUGACUAAGGUUUCCAGAGGAAGGCUCGUCCGCUCUGGGUUAGUCGGGUCCUAAGCUGAGGCCGACAGGCGUAGGCGAUGGAUAACAGGUUGAUAUUCCUGUACCACCUAUAAUCGUUUUAAUCGAUGGGGGGACGCAGUAGGAUAGGCGAAGCGUGCGAUUGGAUUGCACGUCUAAGCAGUAAGGCUGAGUAUUAGGCAAAUCCGGUACUCGUUAAGGCUGAGCUGUGAUGGGGAGAAGACAUUGUGUCUUCGAGUCGUUGAUUUCACACUGCCGAGAAAAGCCUCUAGAUAGAAAAUAGGUGCCCGUACCGCAAACCGACACAGGUAGUCAAGAUGAGAAUUCUAAGGUGAGCGAGCGAACUCUCGUUAAGGAACUCGGCAAAAUGACCCCGUAACUUCGGGAGAAGGGGUGCUCUUUAGGGUUAACGCCCAGAAGAGCCGCAGUGAAUAGGCCCAAGCGACUGUUUAUCAAAAACACAGGUCUCUGCUAAACCGUAAGGUGAUGUAUAGGGGCUGACGCCUGCCCGGUGCUGGAAGGUUAAGAGGAGUGGUUAGCUUCUGCGAAGCUACGAAUCGAAGCCCCAGUAAACGGCGGCCGUAACUAUAACGGUCCUAAGGUAGCGAAAUUCCUUGUCGGGUAAGUUCCGACCCGCACGAAAGGCGUAACGAUUUGGGCACUGUCUCAACGAGAGACUCGGUGAAAUCAUAGUACCUGUGAAGAUGCAGGUUACCCGCGACAGGACGGAAAGACCCCGUGGAGCUUUACUGUAGCCUGAUAUUGAAAUUCGGCACAGCUUGUACAGGAUAGGUAGGAGCCUUUGAAACGUGAGCGCUAGCUUACGUGGAGGCGCUGGUGGGAUACUACCCUAGCUGUGUUGGCUUUCUAACCCGCACCACUUAUCGUGGUGGGAGACAGUGUCAGGCGGGCAGUUUGACUGGGGCGGUCGCCUCCUAAAAGG
rnacentral:rRNA from 1 species